AUGAACGCUGGCGGCGUGCCUAAUACAUGCAAGUCGAGCGAACAGACGAGGAGCUUGCUCCUCUGGCGUUAGCGGCGGACGGGUGGGUAACACGUGGAUAACCUACCUAUAAGACUGGGAUAACUUCGGGAAACCGGAGCUAAUACCGGAUAAUAUAUUGAACCGCAUGGUUCAAUAGUGAAAGACGGUUUUGCUGUCACUUAUAGAUGGAUCCGCGCCGCAUUAGCUAGUUGGUAAGGUAACGGCUUACCAAGGCAACGAUGCGUAGCCGACCUGAGAGGGUGAUCGGCCACACUGGAACUGAGACACGGUCCAGACUCCUACGGGAGGCAGCAGUAGGGAAUCUUCCGCAAUGGGCGAAAGCCUGACGGAGCAACGCCGCGUGAGUGAUGAAGGUCUUCGGAUCGUAAAACUCUGUUAUUAGGGAAGAACAAAUGUGUAAGUAACUAUGCACGUCUUGACGGUACCUAAUCAGAAAGCCACGGCUAACUACGUG
rnacentral:rRNA from 1 species